CCUACGGGAGGCAGCAGUGAGGAAUAUUGGUCAAUGGGCGCUAGCCUGAACCAGCCAAGUAGCGUGAAGGAUGACUGCCCUAUGGGUUGUAAACUUCUUUUAUAUGGGAAUAAAGUGCAGUAUGUAUACUGCUUUGCAUGUACCUUAUGAAUAAGGAUCGGCUAACUCCGUACCAGCAGCCGCGGUAAUACGUAGGAUCCGAGCGUUAUCCGGAUUUAUUGGGUUUAAAGGGAGCGUAGGCGGGUUGUUAAGUCAGUUGUGAAAGUUUGCGGCUCAACCGUAAAAUUGCAGUUGAUACUGGCAGCCUUGAGUACAGUAGAAGUAGGCGGAAUGCGUGGUGUAGCGGUGAAAUGCUUAGAUAUCGCGAAGAACUCCGAUUGCGAAGGCAGCCUGCUGGACUGUAACUGACGCUGAUGCUCGAAAGUGUGGGUAUCAAACAGGAUUAGAUACCCCUGUAGUC
rnacentral:rRNA from 1 species